CCUAGGGGAGGCAGCAGUGGGGAAUAUUGCACAAUGGGCGCAAGCCUGAUGCAGCGACGCCGCGUGAGGGAUGGAGGCCUUCGGGUUGUAAACCGCUUUUGUUCAAGGGCAAGGCACGGUCUUUGGCCGUGUUGAGUGGAUUGUUCGAAUAAGCACCGGCUAACUACGUGCCAGCAGCCGCGGUAAUACGUAGGGUGCAAGCGUUAUCCGGAUGUAUUGGGCGUAAAGGGCUCGUAGGCGGUUCGUCGCGUCCGAUGUGAAAGUCAACGGCUUAACGGUGGAUCCGCGCCGGGUACGGGCGGGCUUGAGUGCGGUAGGGGAGAUUGGAAUUCCCGGUGUAGCGGUGGAAUGUGUAGAUAUAGGGAAGAACACCAGUGGCGAAGGCAGAUCUCGGGGCCGUUACUGACGGUGAGGAGCGAAAGCGUGGGGAGCGAACAGGAUUAGAUACCCGAGUAGUC
rnacentral:rRNA from 1 species